rnacentral:rRNA from 1 species
CCUACGGGUGGCAGCAGUGAGGAAUAUUGGUCAAUGGGCGCGAGCCUGAACCAGCCAAGUAGCGUGAAGGAUGACGGCCCUACGGGUUGUAAACUGCUUUUAUAAAGGAAUAAAGUGAGGCACGUGUGCCGUGUUGUAUGUACCUUAUGAAUAAGGAUCGGCUAACUCCGUGCCAGCAGCCGCGGUAAUACGGAGGAUCCGAGGGUUAUCCGGAUUUAUUGGGUUUAAAGGGAGCGUAGCUGGGUUGUUAAGUCAGUUGUGAAAGUUGGCGGCUCAACCGUGAAAUUGCCAUUGAUACUGGCAUUCUUGAGUACAGUUGCGGUAGGCGGCAUUCGUGGUGUAGCGGU